GGCUCCUAACACAAACUCCCACUCACCUUCCUGGAUCUGGGGCUCCUCAUGAUCUGAGACCUUUAGAGGGGCAUAUGUCUUUUUCUCAGCAGCCUCAGCCUCCCGGUCGCUGCCCAGAGCCUGGUCUCCUGGGCCCAGCUCUUCUUCCUGCGGAUAGAGGCUCGGACAAGGUCAGAACCGAAGUGGCUGUGCUGGUGCCGUUGGGCGCGUGCUUCCUGGAACCAGUCUCCUGUCAGGAUCUUCAGCUGCCCGGGAUCCGCCAGUGAGGCCCGGAGCUUGCUGGAGGAUAGGGGAGGGCAAUGGCCAUCUCUCCUCACCUAACCAAUAUACCUGCCACCCACCGGGUCCGGCUCUCAAUAGCAAAUCAGAUGUGACCCCUGCUGUGGGGAAACCAAAUCCAGAAUAGUGAAGUAUGCUAUAUUGAGCCCAGACUCUUGUGCAUACUAAGCAAGUGCUGUACCACUAAACUAUAUCUUCGGCCUUGAAUCGCUCUUAAAGGACAAACUGGAGUGCUCCAGAAAGAAAAGGAUAAUUAUCCAUUAAAUGAUUACUGUGGGCCAUACUUACAUAAUUUCUCUUAAUUCUGAGAUAGUAGACCUUGCAGCUCCAUUUUAUAGAUGAGAAUAGUGCUUGGGGCCAUGCAAGGUGCCAAAAGGUACCUAACUAGAAGUGUCUGUCUGUCCUCCAGCUGUUUGUCAUCAUGCCCCUCUACUGCUGUGUUCUUCCAGGAAGAAGACACAAACAGCCUUACCUUUGAAGUGAGGGUGUGUUCAGGGGUGCAGAGCACCCACGUGGCUGUAGGGGCUAUUGUUUGUUGUCAGGUUGGGGCUGAGGGGCAGGACGGAGUGGGGGAGGCCCUUGGUGCUGCCCACAGUGGUGAAGGGAGAGGCAGGCCGAAGUGCUGCCUAAGAGGGAGGCUGUGGAGGGAGGGAGCUGGUACAGCCACCCAGGAGAAGGGAUGAGCGCUGAGCUGGCCCAGGGCAGAGGGGACCAGAGGACUCUGAAAGGCAGGUGUUGGUAGCCUGCACAAACCUUCCGAGGGCCCAAGACCCCUUCCUCCUGGCCAGCAGCC